GAUGAACGCUGGCGGCAUGCCUAAUACAUGCAAGUCGAGCGAACGGACGAGAAGCUUGCUUCUCUGAUGUUAGCGGCGGACGGGUGAGUAACACGUGGAUAACCUACCUAUAAGACUGGGAUAACUUCGGGAAACCGGAGCUAAUACCGGAUAAUAUUUUGAACCGCAUGGUUCAAAAGUGAAAGACGGUCUUGCUGUCACUUAUAGAUGGAUCCGCGCUGCAUUAGCUAGUUGGUAAGGUAACGGCUUACCAAGGCAACGAUGCAUAGCCGACCUGAGAGGGUGAUCGGCCACACUGGAACUGAGACACGGUCCAGACUCCUACGGGAGGCAGCAGUAGGGAAUCUGCCGCAAUGGGCGAAAGCCUGACGGAGCAACGCCGCGUGAGUGAUGAAGGUCUUCGGAUCGUAAAACUCUGUUAUUAGGGAAGAACAUAUGUGUAAGUAACUGUGCACAUCUUGACGGUACCUAAUCAGAAAGCCACGGCUAACUACGU
rnacentral:rRNA from 1 species